ACGCGGAGGGAGGGUUAGGGUAAGGGAUGGUAGGUUGGUGAAGGUUUUUUUUUAUUUUUUUUUUUAUUUAUUUUAUUUUUUUUUUUUUUUUUAUUUAUUUUUUUUUUUUUUUUUAUUUUGGUCUAUUUGUGUUCUAUUUUAUUGUUUCUUUUGGUCAAGGGUCCAUGGUCAUGGUAACCCUGAGUUCAAGAGGCUUUGAAAAUAAAAUAAUAUAUAUAUUUAUGUACAUAUGUAUUAAUUUUUUAUUUGUAUUAUUUUGUUUAUAGGUUUAGUUGUUUCCUAUUGGUCCAGGUUCCAUGGUCAUGGUAGCCCAAAGAGAAGAAAAGAAAUUGGGAUAUUUUGUUAAAUAUAAAUUGGUUCCCUAGUGAUUAUUGUUGCAGGAUCCAAGGGAUCAAUAAAGAUAAUUAUAAAGUACAUUUUUAAGAGUCUGUAGUCAUUGUAGCUCUCAAAUACUAUAAAAGAACUAUUUUAUGGUCAUAAUGGCCACCUUUAUAUACCUAGGGGAGCCUACUGGUAAAAGGGCCGAUGGCUAAGUAUUAGUGUCUGUCUGUCAGCAGGGUUGGGACCAAGAAUGAGGUGGGGGGGGCACACAUGCAUACACACAUGAACAUGAAAGGGGAUGUGCCUAUACACAUAUUUUUUACAUAUACAAAAGCAUAAACAUACAACAGAUAGCAUACAACGUCACACUCCACUACAUCCUAGUGUGUGCAUAUAUAUGAGAGCUGUGUAAAAGUCCAAUUAAGGAAAGAAAAGUGUAUAAAUAAAAGAGUAGCCAAAAGGAGAUGCCCCCGAAGUCCAUGUGGAAUCUGCUUUCCUCACAGUCUCACAAUGGGUCUAGGGGCAUCCCAGCCACGACGCGUUUCUGCCUUACUUGGCUUCAUCAGGUAGCAGGGAGGAGAAUAUAUAAAUAAAAUUGAAAUAAAAGGUGCAAAAAGUAGUAAAAAUGUAUGUAUAUAUAUCUACAUGUACAGUAGGGUGUACUGUGCAAUUUACUUGCCUUGAAUGUAGUCCUGAUUGGAUGUGUGGAGCGAAAUGAUCACUGUCCCGGUAGUCUCCUCAAGCUGUGAGGAGAGCUAACUCUCCGGUGUGUGCGCGUGUGGGAAUGCGGCUUAGGAUAUUUCGAUUGGUCUGUACUGUUACUAGGUAGGAUAACCGCUAACAGGUUGAGGUGUGGAGGAGUCAGAUAAAGGUGAGAGUGGAAUAGGGAUGCAGUAAAGUGGAUGGGCAGUUAGAGUGGAGGUCAAGCACAUCUAAUAACAAUACAAUGGAGACCCAAUGUGAUAAAUGUUCAACCUUGUAGUGACACAAGCUUAUCAAAUGUUAUUUGGUAUGAAUGAAGAGUGGAGUGUGACAAAACAGGGGACACAAUACAUUGUAAGGGACAGACAGGGUUAACAACAUGAGGUCAGGUACAGAUACAUGUACACACACACACAUACACAGAGGGGUUGGAACUGGGGUUGCAGUUCGGGUUAGGGGCCAGGGCUAAGGUGUGGGGAAUUGUAUAGGAGAAGUGGACUCUUUGCUUUUGGGGUGCUGUUUGGGUUGUGGGUAUCCGAGAGGUACCAGGUGAAUUUUAAGUAGGACUAGAAGUCCUGGGGGUCAAGAGGAGCCAUACGUGGAGUUCCUGUGAUGUGUAGAAGUAAGAUAGAUCCUCCUAUGAAAAGUGUGUAUUUGACCUACGUGUCACCAUUGACUUGUGUGUUAGCGUUGGGAGCGGUCUGCUCUGGUAGGGGUUUGGGGUUGGAAAUACCCGAAGGUAAGGUUCUGUGGGUCCAGGAAAGGUAGAGGGUAGAGUGGACAUCUGUGGGUUCCUAUAGAAUUUUUAGUUGGGUUCUGGGUAACCCAUAGGUCUGGUGAUAGGUCUUUGAAUGUGGUUUAGUUAUUUUUCCUCCGAUUUUUGUUGAGUCACGUUGCUUAUAUGCAGUAAGGUGCGAUGUGCAGGGAAAAGUAGUGGCCGUGGUUUUUAGGUCUUUUUGUGGUGUUAGAGGGCAUGAACCUUGUUUCUUUAUUAAGGGGUAGUGGCAGAUAGGAUAACUAGGGGGGUGUUCCUUUAACCCGGAUCGAAAAUGGUGCUGUUUUUAUCUUUUCUAGUUGGCGCUUGUUAGCGGAGUUUUAGCUUUGAUCGCGUUCGUGUCCACUUGGGUUCCCGGAUAUGCGGUAGAUUUGGCUGUUUUGCGGUGUUCAAGUCCACUUGGAUUAUGGGAUGUACGGAUCCGAAAAAGCUUUUUGUUGCUGUUUUUUUUUUUUAUAUGGGUGGGGGUCUAACCUAGGUUUUGGUGUGAGUGUGGUGGGCCUAUAAUGUAAUUUGUAUCAUUUUUUGCCUGUUGGAGAUACGUUCGUCAGGAUGGGUAAAAAGUCUCUUACACCUGUGUCAGUGUAGUAAGUCCAGUUCUUUGUUGAAAAAAAGUCUUUCCCUUUAGCUGAAAAAGGGUAGUGUCUUGAGAAAAAAACCUUUAUCUUGAGUAAAAAAAGGUGGUAUCUUUGAGAAAAUCCUCUUUAGUUGAAAAAGGUAAAAUCUUGGAGAAGAAGUCUUCUUUCGUUGAAAAAAUGGAGGGGGUAGUGUUCAUCAAAAAAAAGUUUUUGAGUAUGUUGUAGUAGAGUCCAGGUUCUUUAGUAAAAAGUAAGAAAUAAAAAGUAAAAAAUGCUUUUGAGUUGAAAAAAAGUAGAGUAGGUAGUGUACAUCCAGGGGUCAGGAGUAGAGUAGGGUUAUUUUAGUUGGUAUAUAAUCUAAUGAUUAUUUUUAACCUAUUCACCAUCAAACCAAUCCUGAGGGUGCAAGGGUGGAGAAAAAACCUUUGUAUAAGGCUGGAUUUGGGAGGAUCCCAGUGAGUGUAAGGGAUAAAAAGUCCUUGGCUUGCUGCGUCCAUACCCUACAUCCGGCAACGCAGCGGUGACUCGCCAAGUGUUUGGUUUCUAGUUUUGAGUCGGUUGAUCCACUUCCAUCUCUGACACGUGGAAACCGGAGGGGGGAAGGGAGGGGUUGCACUCCACAUCAUAUACGCGCGGGUCGGAGGGUACGGGCGCGGCCGGCCAAAGUCGCAGGCCCCAUGGUAGCCCACUUGUAGAUUAACCCGUUGGUUGGGUUAAAGGACUGUCUGUCUGUAGGGUUAGGGUUGGGUUAGGGUUAGGGUUAGGGUUAGGGUUAGGGUUAGGGUUAGGGUUAGGGUUAGGGUUAGGGUUAGGGUUAGGGUUAGGGUUAGGGUUAGGGUUAGGGU
ensembl:lncRNA